rnacentral:rRNA from 1 species
CCUACGGGGGGCUGCAGUUAAGAAUCUUGCGCAAUGGGGGAAACCCUGACGCAGCGACGCCGCGUGGACGAUGAAGGCCUUCGGGUUGUAAAGUCCGAUAAGCAGGGAAGAAUAAGCAGCGGGUAAUAUUCGCUGUGAUGACGGUACCUGCCUAAAGCCCCGGCUAACUACGUGCCAGCAGCCGCGGUAAUACGUAUGGGGCUAGCGUUGUUCGGAAUGAUUGGGCGGGAAGGGAAGUUAGGCGGGGAAUCCCUGGGCUCAACCCAGGAACUGCAUCUAAAACUGGUUCUCUUGAGUUCUGGAGAGGAGAGCGGAAUUCCCGGUGUAGCGGUGAAAUGCGUAGAUAUCGGGAAGAACACCAGUGGCGAAGGCGGCUCUCUGGCCUAGAACUGACGCUGAAGCGCGAAAGCGUGGGGAGCGAACGGGAUUAGAUACCCCUGUAGUC